GAUGAACGCUGGCGGCGUGCCUAAUACAUGCAAGUCGAGCGAACGGACGAGAAGCUUGCUUUUCUGAUGUUAGCGGCGGACGUGUGAGUAACACGUGGAUAACCUACCUAUAAGACUGGGAUAACUUCGGGAAACCGGAGCUAAUACCGGAUAAUAUUUUGAACCGCAUGGUUCAAAAGUGAAGGACGGUCUUGCUGUCACUUAUAGAUGGAUCCGCGCUGCAUUAGGUAGUUGGUAAGGUAACGGCUUACCAAGGCAACGAUGCAUAGCCGACCUGAGAGGGUGAUCGGCCACACUGGAACUGAGACACGGUCCAGACUCCUACGGGAGGAAGCAGUAGGGAAUCUUCCGCAAAGGGCGAAAGCCUGACGGAGCAACGCCGCGUGAGUGAUGAAGGUCUUCGGAUCGUAAAACUCUGUUAUUAGGGAAGAACAUAUGUGUAAGUAACUGUGCACAUCUUGACGGUACCUAAUCAGAAAGCCACGGCUAACUACGUG
rnacentral:rRNA from 1 species